UUUUCAUAGAAAAGCUGCCGCCAGUGUUUCCAUCGCCUCUAGCGCAAAGUCCGAUUCAGACCUCUUCUUCCUUCACUCAGGAUGAAUGUCAAAGGCUCAUUGCGCUUCUGAGUUCGCAACUUCAUCUCAAUACCAGCAACCAACCUGAAGUUCAUAAGCCCGAUGUUCCAUCUGCCUCUCAUUUCACAGGACCUUGCUUAGAGGAGAACGAUUGGGAUGGGUAGACGAGAUGGCAACCUAUAUUUUCUAGAUUUAGGCAAUCCCAUUUGUAAUCAGUUUUCUUCAUGCAAUUUUAUUUCCUCCAAAUUGCCCAAACAGAACAUUUGGCAUGUUAGGCUUGGACAUCCCUCUGAUGUAAAGUUGAAAUCAAUGAAUAAAGAAUUAAAUCUGCCUUCCUCGUC